CAUUUUACUUAUUCUACAAAUUCCUUUUAGAAUAAAUCCAUAGAAGUGGAUUUGAAUACACAAAAAAACUAUCGCAUGAGCUUAUACAUUAGAGUCACACAUUUAACCAUAAUUUAAACCACUAAAAUACCAAGAAAUAUAAUAAUUCUUUCUUCCAGUAAUAAUAUUCUUGUAUCAACUGAUAAGAACAAUGUGUAACCCUACACUCUCAAAAGACCACUCAAAACACAUAAAUUCCAUCCAACACCAAAAAUAACAGAGUUCACUCCAACCACUCUGGAUUCACACAAUUCUUGUAAUCACAAACUUUCUCUGUCAAAACAUACACAACUCUCAAUAAACAACAAUCAUAAUCUUCCAUCUGUAAUGAAUCUUUCAAUAACUUCUCAUAUAAUUCAAUCAUACAGUAUUCCAAUUAUAUAAUCAAUAACUCAUAAAUCAAUCUCCGAUUUAUUUCACAAAUUUACUUCUCAGUAUUCAGAAACUAUCCAUUACUCUUCAAUAACAAAGAAACAAAGAGGUAGCACCAAGCUUACUCCAGCUCAUGACUAUCACAGUCUGGCCUUUACAAUAUCUUCUUCAAUUUAGUAUUGCUUUAC
rnacentral:lncRNA from 1 species